CGCUGGCGGCGUGCUUAACACAUGCAAGUCGAACGAAGAGCGAUGGAAGCUUGCUUCUAUCAAUCUUAGUGGCGAACGGGUGAGUAACGCGUAAUCAACCUGCCCUUCAGAGGGGGACAACAGUUGGAAACGACUGCUAAUACCGCAUACGAUCUAAACUCGGCAUCGAGGAUAGAUGAAAGGUGGCCUCUACAUGUAAGCUAUCACUGAAGGAGGGGAUUGCGUCUGAUUAGCUAGUUGGAGGGGUAACGGCCCACCAAGGCGAUGAUCAGUAGCCGGUCUGAGAGGAUGAACGGCCACAUUGGGACUGAGACGCGGCCCAGACUCCUACGGGAGGCAGCAGUGGGGAAUCUUCCGCAAUGGACGAAAGUCUGACGGAGCAACGCCGCGUGAGUGAUGACGGCCUUCGGGUUGUAAAGCUCUGUUAAUCGGGACGAAAGGCCUUCUUGCGAAUAGUGAGAAGGAUUGACGGUACCGGAAUAGAAAGCCACGGCUAACUACGUGCCAGCAGCCGCGGUAAUACGUAGGUGGCAAGCGUUGUCCGGAAUUAUUGGGCGUAAAGCGCGCGCAGGCGGAUAGGUCAGUCUGUCUUAAAAGUUCGGGGCUUAACCCCGUGAUGGGAUGGAAACUGCCAAUCUAGAGUAUCGGAGAGGAAAGUGGAAUUCCUAGUGUAGCGGUGAAAUGCGUAGAUAUUAGGAAGAACACCAGUGGCGAAGGCGACUUUCUGGACGAAAACUGACGCUGAGGCGCGAAAGCCAGGGGAGCGAACGGGAUUAGAUACCCCGGUAGUCCUGGCCGUAAACGAUGGGUACUAGGUGUAGGAGGUAUCGACCCCUUCUGUGCCGGAGUUAACGCAAUAAGUACCCCGCCUGGGGAGUACGACCGCAAGGUUGAAACUCAAAGGAAUUGACGGGGGCCCGCACAAGCGGUGGAGUAUGUGGUUUAAUUCGACGCAACGCGAAGAACCUUACCAGGUCUUGACAUUGAUGGACAGAACUAGAGAUAGUUCCUCUUCUUCGGAAGCCAGAAAACAGGUGGUGCACGGUUGUCGUCAGCUCGUGUCGUGAGAUGUUGGGUUAAGUCCCGCAACGAGCGCAACCCCUAUCUUAUGUUGCCAGCACGUAAUGGUGGGAACUCAUGAGAGACUGCCGCAGACAAUGCGGAGGAAGGCGGGGAUGACGUCAAAUCAUCAUGCCCCUUAUGACCUGGGCUACACACGUACUACAAUGGGAGUUAAUAGACGGAAGCGAGAUCGCGAGAUGGAGCAAACCCGAGAAACACUCUCUCAGUUCGGAUCGUAGGCUGCAACUCGCCUACGUGAAGUCGGAAUCGCUAGUAAUCGCAGGUCAGCAUACUGCGGUGAAUACGUUCCCGGGCCUUGUACACACCGCCCGUCACACCACGAAAGUCGGAAGUGCCCAAAGCCGGUGGGGUAACCUUCGGGAGCCAGCCGUCUAAAGUAAAGUCGAUGAUUGGGGUGA
rnacentral:rRNA from 1 species